CUAGCAUAUUGUUUGGAGAAUUAUUCUCCUAGAAUAAUUUGAUGAAGCGUAAUAUCUGGGGUUACACGCUUAUUUGUAAUGCAACAAAAGUUGUUAUAAAAUACAACAGCAAUAGUUGGUAGCUAUAAAAGGCGUGUGGGAAGCCCUUUCGCGAAUACUAAAGUUGUGGUGACAAAAAAAAUUAUUAGUAAGCUAACUUUG
rnacentral:ncRNA from 1 species